UACAGAGGGGGCAAGCGUUGUUCGGAAUUACUGGGCGUAAAGGGCGCGUAGGCGGCCUGCUAAGUCGAACGUGAAAUCCCUGGGCUCAACCCAGGAACUGCGUCCGAUACUGGCAGGCUUGAAUCCGGGAGAGGGAUGUGGAAUUCCAGGUGUAGCGGUGAAAUGCGUAGAUAUCUGGAGGAACACCGGUGGCGAAGGCGGCUCACUGGCCCGGUACUGACGCUGAGGUGCGAAAGCGUGGGGAGCAAACAGG
rnacentral:rRNA from 1 species